AAAAAAUAUAAUAAAUAUUUAAAAAUAAUUAUAAUAGAAUAAAGAUAAAUUAAAAGAUAAUUUUAAUUUGUUAAAAUAUAGAUGAUGUGAUAUUAUUGUAAUACUUAAAAAAUUUUCACAAAACUUUUUGUACCGUGCUAAUAAGGAAACAUCUAGUUACCGUUUGGUUCGAAAUUAUAAAAAAACUAAUUAUUUCAGGUAUAGUGUUAAGUUCAGGGUUAAGAUAGGAUUAGAGUAUUUUUGUGUUUGGUUGGAGGUUGGAGUUAGUUAAGGAUAGUAAAAAAUAAUAUUUGGUUGGGAUAGGUGGCAUAAAAAGAAUAGUGGGUUAUUGUGAAUAGAAAAUAGUGUUUGGUUUAGAUUUGGUGAAAUUAGAUGGGAUUAGCUAAUCCGAAAUAGCCUAUUUGAAGUAAAAUUAGCUAACCUCACCCAUUUUUAAAAGUAUUUAAAAAUAAUAUGAAGGUUAAUGUGUUAUUCCACCCUUUAACCCCCAACUAAAUAAAGGCCCAGAACUUUCUGAAUGACUUGCGCGGUCCUACAAACUUGGUGGGAGUUACGUGUAGUUUAAGCGUGCAUUUAUUAUGGAACUGUACGGACAAACACGAUGGGCGUAGAAAGCGGAAUAUGCGUUACUCAUCUCAUACAAUGUGCCCGUUACUCAUCCCAUAUAUUUAGACAUUAUGGAAUAAUAUAUACACUCACACAGUCACACUUUGAUUGUAUUGAAACUUAGAGCAUCCGUGAUCUCAUUGUUCCUCCCCCAAAAAAAAAGAAAAGAAAAAAAGACCAACACAUCAAUUAAAUGAUCAAUUAUUCUUAGCGCAAGUGAUAAAAAAUUUGAUGUUUAAUAUCUGAAAUUUUAAUUUCAAAUUCUAAUUGAUUCAUAUUUUUAGCUAAAUUUAUUUCUAAAUAGAAUAAACGAAGCGGAUAGCAUAUUAUUUACCUCUUUCAAAAAAAAAACACAUAUUAAUUAAAUGAGCUGACCAAGUAAUCUG
rnacentral:lncRNA from 1 species